UACGGAGGGUGCAAGCGUUAUCCGGAUUUACUGGGUUUAAAGCGUGCGCAGGCGGUUUUGUAAGCCAGAUGUGAAAUCCCCGGGCUUAACCUGGGAAUGGCAUUUGGGACUGCAAGGCUGGAGUGUGGCAGAGGAGACUGGAAUUCCUGGUGUAGCAGUGAAAUGCGUAGAUAUCAGGAGGAAUACCGAUGGCGAAGGCAGGUCUCUGGGCUGACACUGACGCUCAUGCACGAAAGCGUGGGGAGCAACAGG
rnacentral:rRNA from 1 species